rnacentral:pre_miRNA from 1 species
AUACACGAGAUAUUGGUGCGGUUCAAUGAGAAAGCAGUACUCGACAAAUUUUGACUCUACUUUUUGAUUGAGCCGUGCCAAUAUCACGUGUAGCA